ACAUGCCUACAACAUGGCGUUAAUGCACUGGAUCCCAUUAAAACUCCAUAGUUAAGCAUGCUUAGGCUAGAGUAGUACUGGGAUGGGUGACCACCCUGGAAUUCCCAGUGUUUUACAUGCC
rnacentral:rRNA from 1 species